AUACGGAGGAUCCGAGCGUUAUCCGGAUUUAUUGGGUUUAAAGGGUGCGCAGGCGGGAGAUUAAGUCGGCGGUGAAAUUUUUCAGCUCAACUGUAAAAGGGCCUUCGAAACUGGUUUCCUUUGGUGUAGAUGAAGUAGGCGGAAUUUGUGGUGUAGCGGGGAAAUGCAUAGAUAUCACGAGGAACUCCGAUUGCGCAGGCAGCUUACUAAACUACUACUGACGCUCAGGCACGAAGGCGUGGGGAUCAAACAGGAUUAGAUACUCUGGUAGUCCACGCAGUAAACGAUGAUUACUAGCUGUUUGCGAUACAAUGUAAGCGGCUGAGCGAAAGCGUUAAGUAAUCCACCUGGGGAGUACGUUCGCAAGAAUGAAACUUAAAGGAAUCGGCGGGG
rnacentral:rRNA from 1 species